rnacentral:rRNA from 1 species
UACGUAGGGGGCGAGCGUUGUCCGGAUUUAUUGGGCGUAAAAGGCUUGUAGGUGGCCACGCGAAGUCGGAUGUGAAAUCUCCCGGCUCAACUGGGAGGGUCAUUCGAUACUGGCGGGCUCGAGGCCGGUAGGGGGAAGCGGAAGUUCCCGGUGUAGUGGUGGAAUGCGUAGAUAUCGGGAGGAACACCAGUGGCGAAGGCGGCUCCUGGACCGGU